rnacentral:rRNA from 1 species
UACGUAGGGGGCAAGCGUUGUCCGGAAUCAUUGGGCGUAAAGAGCGUGUAGGCGGUUAGGUAGGUCCGUUGUGAAAACUCGAGGCUCAACCUCGAGACGCCGAUGGAAACCAUCUGACUAGAGUCCGGAAGAGGAGAGUGGAAUUCCUGGUGUAGCGGUGAAAUGCGCAGAUAUCAGGAAGAACACCCGUGGCUAAGGCGGCUCUCUAGUACGUGACUGACGCUGAGACGCGAAAGCGUGGGGAGCGAACAGG